AUCAAGCCUCCAGUUACUAAGGGAUGUCCUCGUACAAACUGACCACAUGUAUGGCAAAGAGGAUCAUGAUUACAGGGAUUGUCUCCCCCUGGUCCUGGUAUGGGCAAGUUGUAAUCAGCUUCUGAGGCUGUGAGUCUGGUUUUGUCAAUGGCAUUUGCAUCCAAGGGGACGAUCCCACAUUUCCUGAAUACAGUUUUGAUAUUAUGUGGGCUGAAUACCCUAUCAACUGCUGAAUGCAGGACCUGUGAAAACCUGGAAAUUGGGCAUUUCACACAGAUUUUUGAAGGUUACCUCCCCUUUCCAAUCAUCAAAUGAGGAUUUGCAUAUCCCAAACUGACUGACAAAUCAGAAAACUGUUUUUUUUGAGUGGCCGGAAUAAGGCCACAUCCAGCGGCUGCAAUAUGUGUGUUGUGUGUGGAGGCAGGCACAACAACUCGACCCUGCUCAAUGGUGUUAAGUGAAAGAUGACUCUCGUGGUUAUCUGUGAUCAGUAGUAAGGGUCUCUGCUUGGAUGCGUGUUUCAGGAAUACCUUGUCAAACCACUUCUCAAACAAAUCAGCAUCCAUAUACCCAUUUGUGGAAGUUCCGAAAAGCCAUUCUUGAGGUAUUCCUGUGAAUAAACAAAAAUUACACAUACCAUCUCUGUAGGUCCCACCAGGAAACGACUUUUCGAAGAUUAUGAAGGAAGUCUCCCAUCAGCGGACACACAAAUUGUAGCUGUUGUAUGGCAAUAUAUGGAAAAGGAGGAGAGAAGUCUUACCAAGUCUAUGUACAGUCUCCUUCAAUAAUGUGAAGUACUGUGCCAUAACAUUGGGGUUGGCCAUCCUUGCCCGUCCACCAUCAAUGGUCUGAGGCUUCCUCAUGUGCAGCCUUGGAUUUCUGCGGAAACAUUUCCUCAUCCAUUUAUUUGAUGGACCAGUUAGCCCAAUUACACUUUUCCUUCCUGACUUCGUUAUUAUUUGAGAUAUGAACAUUUUAAUCAUUUUUCGAGAAAGUGGU